AGUAGUAAAUAUGUUUUAGGAAUUUUUGUGGACUUUAAAGGAGCGUUUGAUUAUCUUAGAUGGUCAAGCGUGUUGGAAAGGCUUACGCAAAUAGGUUGUAGAGAUAUGGCACUCUGGCAGAGUUAUUUUUCUGACAGACGUGCCUGUAUAGUUGGAGGUAUAAGCUCAGUAUGGAAAGAUGUAGUUAGAGGAUGCCCGCAGGGAUCUAUCUGUGGUCCAUUUAUCUGGAACAUAAUGAUGGAUUCUCUGUUGCAUCAAUUAGGUGAGUCAGUAAAUUGCUGCGCUUAUGCAGACGAUUUGCUAAUAAUAAUAGAAGGUAGUAGUAGAUUAGAAGUUGAAAAUAAAGCUGCAGACAGUAUGGGUAUAGUUGGAGAAUGGUGCCUAGGUGUAGGUGUAGAAAUAGCACUGGAUAAGACUGUGAUGAUGAUGCUUAAAGGCAUAUUGUCACGGUCUCGCCAUCCGGUUGUUAGGGUAAAUGGCAUCUCGAUUAAAUAUUCAAAAGUGGUCAAGUACUUAGGUAUCAAUAUAGGAGAGAGGAUGAGUUUUUAUCCUCAUCUUGACUAUUUGAAAGAAAAGCUGCGUUCGCUAGUCCCGAAGGUUAGGAAAAUUCUUAGGAAUGAAUGGGGACUGAGUAGGAGAGCGACGCGAACUAUUUAUCAGGGGCUGUUUGUUAGCUGUGUGACAUAUGGAGCUUCUAUAUGGUACGACGUUGUCAUGACUUCGCGGGGCCUCAGAAAGGUCUUGUCGGUUCAACGGGUGGCACUCUUAGGGUCCAUUCCGGUGUGCCAUACAGUAUCUACUGAUGCGUUGCAGGUCCUGAUGGGCGUUGCGCCAUUAGAUCUUAAGGUAGUUAGGCGUGUAGCCGCUUAUAUGAUUAGGAAGAAUGUAGUUUUGCCACAUAUUGACUGGUUAAGUGAUAUUGAUACGAUUUCUACUAGCAGUAAGGAUUUGAAAAACAUUCUUAAUGAAUGUGUCAGAACUAGAUGGCAGGAUAGGUGGGACAGCAGUGAAUGUGGAAGAGUAACCCACGAGUUCAUUCGGGAUGUUACUUUCGUCAGGGAUAGACCAGACUUUGAUUUCGGUCUAAGUUUUGGCUAUCUACUGACGGGACAUGGAUCCUUUAAUGCAUUCUUGCACUUGAGGGGUCUAAGUGACACUCCGAACUGCGUUUGUGGUGAACUUGAAAACUGGCUGCAUGUACUGUGUCAGUGUCCCCUUUAUGAGGAUAUUAGGGACAUGGAAGCAAUAGGUGUUGAAAUAAUAGGUGAUAAUUUUAAUGUAAGUGGAAUUUUAGGAAAUUCACGUAGUACAGUGGCCUUAGGGAUUUUCGCUAAGCGUGCCUUCAAUAGAAGAAGAGCCGCAGGUCGUGUCAACCAGGAAAUUUUGUUUGCCUCAGCGUUGUGAUAGUUUGUUGGUUUCGUUCUUCGGAACAAUAUUUAUGAAGAGUUUUUAAUAGGUUUCAAUAGGUUGUCAUGGGCGCCAUCCCAAUGCUGUUUGGAGCAUUCUGGUAUGUGGAUAAGUUCAUCUGCGGCACCCCACCAGAGGUGUUUCUAAAUCUGGUACCACGGGAUCCAGUUGCCCACAACUUUUGUUGUUCUGGACGUUGGGUUGGCUCCUUAAAGGGAGUGUCGUGGUGGCUGUGGUUAAUACCCAAAUUUACGCGGGUAGAAUGAUUGUAUUCAUUUUCAUUCAUUUUCAUUCACUUUCAUUUAUUCAUUCUCUCAUUCUAUCAUCCAUUCAUUCAUUCAUUUAUUUACUCUCAUUCGAUGUGGAGUUGCAUUUUCCAACCGGGUGCUGUGACCCAUAGAUCAGCAGAGGUGUUAGAUAGGCCUCGCUCCUCACCAAGGGGGAAGUUAUGUCCAAACACAUAACUUCAACUGGUACCGGCGAAAUUCCCUGGAAUUUCAAUGGGGCGUUUAUCGGCGCAUUAUCUUGAUACACGUGUUUUGAACACCGUGGUUUUAAGUCUUCACGACAUAAAAAGCCACGUAAAACAACAAUGGACUUUCCUGUCCCUAUCUACUAUCUAGCGAAACCACAGCCAAGGGAACGGGCUUGGAAUAAUUAGCGGGGAAAGAAGACCCUAUUGAGCUUGACUCUAAUCUGGCAGUGUAAGGAGACAUAAGAGGUGUAGAAUAAGUGGGAGAUAUUUAGAAAUUUAUUUUUAUUUAUCGGCAAUGAAAUACCACUACUCUUAUUGUUUCCUUACUUACUUGAUUAAAUGGAACGUUAUAUGUGCUUAGCCAUAUUAAGGAUCUAUUUUCAAUAGAUCUUAUGGUAUUGGGUCUGAUGCAAGCUCUUGACCAAAGUAUCACGAGUUUGUUAUAUAAUUUAAACAAAAUUUAAUGAAGAUAAUUGUAUUCAUACUUUUAUGGUUAAUUAAAAUUUGGUAAAACUCAACAUCAGUAUACCAAUCCAAGGACUAGUCAGUGGGGAGUUCGACUGGGGCCCAUACAUCUUCAAUAAUAACGGAGGUGUCCCAAGGCCAGCUCAGUGCGGACAGAAACCACACAUAGAGCAAAAGGGCAAAUGCUGACUUGAUCUCGAUGUUCAGUAAACAUAGAGACAGCAAAAGCUCGGCCUAUCGAUCCUUUUGGUUUAAGGAGUUUUUAACAAGAGGUGUCAGAAAAGUUACCAUAGGGAUAACUGGCUUGUGGCGGCCAAGAGUUCAUAGCGACGUCGCUUUUUGAUCUUUCGAUGUCGGCUCUUCCUAUCAUUGUGAAGCAAAAUUCACCAAGCGUUGGAUUGUUCACCCAUUCAAGGGAACGUGAGCUGGGUUUAGACCGUCGUGAGACAGGUUAGUUUAUCCCUACUAUGACAACAUUGUGCAACAAGCAUUCCUGGUAGUACGAGAGGAACCGCAGGUACGGACCAAUGGCACAAUACUUUGGCGAGCGAACAGUGGUAUGACGUACGUCCGUUGAUUAUGCCUGAAACGCCUCUAAGGUCUUCCGUGCUGGACUGCAAUGAUAAUAAUGGGGCAAUUGUAUUGUAUGGCUUCAAACCAUUCGAAGUUAUUUAUUUCAUAUAUAUAACGACAAUGUUUAAUGAUGCCAAUUUUAAAUAUAACAUAGCAAAUGCAGGAGGAUAUUAUCACUUGUAUGACGCGCUAGUUAUAUAUAAAAACAUUAUAAAAUAUAAUGACAAUGCCUAGAAUCAAUUGUAAACGACUUUGGUAGCAGGCAAGGUGUUGUAAGUGGUAGAGCAGCUGCCAUACUGCGAUCCACUGAAGCUUAUCCUUUGCUUGAUGAUUCGAUUUUUGUUCAUC
rnacentral:rRNA from 1 species